UACGGAGGGGGCUAGCGUUGUUCGGAAUUACUGGGCGUAAAGCGCACGUAGGCGGCUUUGUAAGUUAGAGGUGAAAGCCCAGGGCUUAACCCUGGAAUUGCCUUUAAGACUGCAUCGCUAGAAUCGUGGAGAGGUGAGUGGAAUUCCGAGUGUAGAGGUGAAAUUCGUAGAUAUUCGGAAGAACACCAGUGGCGAAGGCGGCUCACUGGCUCGGUACUGACGCUGAGGUGCGAAAGCGUGGGGAGCAAACAGG
rnacentral:rRNA from 1 species